GAUGAACGCUGGCGGCGUGCCUAAUACAUGCAAGUCGAGCGAACAGACGAGGAACUUGCUCCUCUGACAUUAGCGGCGGACGGGUGAGUAACACGUGGAUAACCUACCUAUAAGACUGGGAUAACUUCGGGAAACCGGAGCUAAUACCGGAUAAUAUAUUGAACCGCAUGGUUCAAUAGUGAAAGACGGUUUUGCUGUCACUAAUAGAUGGAUCCGCGCCGCAUUAGCUAGUUGGUAAGGUAACGGCUUACCAAGGCAACGAUGCGUAGCCGCCCUGAGAGGGUGAUCGGCCACACUGGAACUGAGACACGGUCCAGACUCCUACGGGAGGCAGCAGUAGGGAAUCUUCCGCAAUGGGCGAAAGCCUGACGGAGCAACGCCGCGUGAGUGAUGAAGGUCUUCGGAUCGUAAAACUCUGUUAUUAGGGAAGAACAAAUGUGUAAGUAACUAUGCACGUCUUGACGGUACCUAAUCAGAAAGCCACGGCUAACUACGUG
rnacentral:rRNA from 1 species